UUAAAAAGCUCGUAGUUGGAUUUCUGUGGGGACGGAGCGGCCGGCCGCUACUAGCGGUUCGAGCUAGCGCUUUCCCUACAUCCUGCCGCGAACCGCGCUACCAUUAGUUUGGUGGCGCCGGGGAUCGGCUCGUUUACUUUGAGAAAAAUAGAGUGUUCAAAGCAGCCACACGCCUUGAAUAAGUAGCAUGGAAUAAUAACUAAGGACUUCGGUUCUAUUUUGUUGGUGUUCGGGACUGAAGUAAUGAUUGAUAGGGACAGUUGGGGCGGUCCGUAUCCCAAAGCGAGAGGUGAAAUUCUUAGACCUUCGGAAGACGAACAGCUGCGAGAGCGUUCCGCAAGGAUGUUCCCUUUGAUCAAGAACGAAAGUUGGGGGAUCGAAGACGAUCAGAUACCGUCGUAGUCUCAACUAUAAACUAUACCAGCUAGGGAU
rnacentral:rRNA from 1 species